CCUACGGGUGGCUGCAGUCGAGAAUCAUUCACAAUGGGGGAAACCCUGAUGGUGCGACGCCGCGUGGGGGAAUGAAGGUCUUCGGAUUGUAAACCCCUGUCAUGUGGGAGCAAAUUAAAACGAUAGUACCACAAGAGGCAGAGCCGGCUAACUCUGUGCCAACAGCCGCGGUAAUACAGAGGUCUCAAGCGUUGUUCGGAAUCACUGGGCGUAAAGCGUGCGUAGGCUGUUUCGUAAGUCGUGUGGGAAAAGCGGCGGCUCAACAGGCGAACGGCACAUGAUACUGCGAGACUUGAGUAAUGGAGAGGUGACCGGAAUUCGCGGUGUAGCGGUGAAAUGCGUAGAUA
rnacentral:rRNA from 1 species